rnacentral:misc_RNA from 1 species
UGGGUGUGUGGCCGGGACCACAGUGUUGCUCUACACUCCCAGGGAGACACACCUGCACACCCACACACCUGACUGUACCUACACACCUGCACGUGUGGAGCCAUGAUGAGUUCACCUCUGCUCAGCAGCAGUUGUCUGCGGAUCUUACCAAGACUUCUGAGACGGAAUAUUUCUUACGUGGAGAGAAUUAGAUUUCUUCAGCGUCUAAAGGAGCAGGAUUCAGUCUGUACCUCUCAUAUUCCUGAUGGAAAGUUCCUGUUGUACAGCCAGAGCAAACCUUUGCUACGAGUAGACAAAGCAAACACCGAAGAUGCCAUAGUGUGGUUAACUUAUCCAGAGGUGACUCGGUAUUAUCCCCACGCUGAUGACUCUAGUGUUCUAGUGGACGUAGCCAUGGAUGGGACAGCAAGGUACAGUGUGCAGGUGGGAGCAUUACCAAGAACAACCAAAGAUGAGCUACAAAGUGCAACGGGUGCCACAUUUACUGACUUACGGGUUGCUCUCUUCAUGGUCUGCUGGAGAGAUGCUCACACGCUCUCUCGUGCAAAUUCUCUACACUUAUGGAAUAGAAACAGUGCUUUUUGUGGAAAGUGUGGUGCUCUAACAGAAAGAAGUGCUGCAGGCCACUCACGCAAAUGCAGAAACUGCAGUAUGACUAACUAUCCAAGUGCCGUACCUGUAGGCAUCGUCCUCAUUACAGACUCUGCCCAUCAAAAUAUCGUCCUUGUAAGACAGCCUCGUACUCCAAGGGGAAUGUAUUCAUGUAUUGCAGGUUUUUCUGAUGUUGGUGAAAACUUGGAACAGACUGUGCAUAGAGAAGUAGCAGAAGAAGUAGGGAUAGAAGUGUCUUCUGUACGAUAUGUUGCAUCCCAGCACUGGCCCUUCCCAGGAUCUUUGAUGGCUGGAUGUUUUGCUACUGCAGAAAAACAAAAGGAUGUGCACGUGUCUUGAUUCCUGACUGUCCCCUGGUCGUCACCUGUCCCUCGGGUCGAGGGAGGCACCCUCGACCAGGCCGCGGGGACGCUGAACCCUGAACUCAUUGCAAGGCUCUCCAAAACUUCUGCCUCCAUGCAGUCCCCAAGCUCUCAUGAUACCAGAUGUGGGCCCAGCCAAAUUGGAAACGACAUUAUGCAUGACUUCUUUCUCUAGCUGCAAUUGCUGUCUCUACAACAGAAGCCUCCACCAGCACUGUGAGAGGAUACAAAAUGCACGACGACAGCCCUGCCAUGACUUUUCGAGUGCACAAUGUCAAUCACAGCCCACUCUUCCUCUUCCAGACAGUUGCCCUCAGUGUAAGGAAGGGGUCCCUUUUGGAAGAAUGUUAUUAAUACUAACUCAACUGUGUUGGUUUGUGAGGGAACAUUUGGAAUUCUCAUUAGUGCAGUGGCUAGUCCUGCACAUAUGCAGUGCAUUGUCACAGUGUGAGCAUGUUGUCCUCUAAAAAUAUAAACAUCAGUUCAAUGAAGGAAAAUAUAGUCCCAAGUACAUUCAGUGGAUGAAAAUGUGUACAAAUUGGUUAACAGUAGGAAACCAGUUUGGAACUCAAUGAAAGAAAUAAAUAAAUUUGGGAUACAAUCUGAAAGAAUAUUAUAGGAAUGCUGGUGGUUAGACAGAAGUGCACCAAUGAUUUGUUCACUUGGCUGGUGGUGGUAGAGAGGACCAACUGACGUCAUGGGAUGCUCAGCGGUUUUCAACAAUGCGAUAAGUGCAGUAAUGUCAAUUUUAUUGUGUUAUUGUUAUAUAGUUAAGUGUAGUAUAUAGAUAUAUUUAAAUUAUGUACAUGUCCCAGUGGACGGUUGGUAUUUAGUGGUGGAUCCAUCCCAGAGUGGGUAUUGUUGAGCACAUGUGUGUUCUACCAGUCAUUUUCUAUGUUAUUUGUUUAACCAAUAAGAACCUUGUCUGUUAAGAUUCCUGGAAUUUGUGAGAGGAUUGUAAUGUAUUAUUCCUAUAGUAUUAAAAGUAACCCUAUUCCAAGUAAUACCUAUUGUGAACUAUUAAAAUGGUGAUAAUAUUUUAUCUUGGUGUCUUAAUGCCUUGAUACCAUGUGAGGGCACGAGAUAACCUUUGCCCAACUAUAACAAUAGCACCACCCUGCACUUACCAUAUUGCUAAAAACUGCCGAGUGUCCCUUGCUGUCAGUCAGUCAGUCUUUGCCACCAUCAGCCAAGUGAACGAAUUAUUGGCACUUCUGUCUAACCACCAGUGUUCCUAUAAUAUUCUUUCAAAUCGUAUCACAAAUUUAUUUGUUUCAGAGUUCCAAACUGGUUUCCUUUGUACGCAUUUGUACACAUUUUCAAUCACUGAAUGUACUUGAGACGAUAUAUUUUCUUUCAUUGAACUGGUGUUUAUAUUCUUUUAGAGAGGAACAUACUUGCACUGUGACAAUGCACUGCGUAUGUGCAGGACUAGCCACUGCACUGAUGGGGAUUCCAAAUGUUCCUUUACAAACCUUAGUGUUAGUAUUGAUAACAGUCGAGUUAUCAAUACUAACACCCUUUUCCAAAAAGGAGCCCUUCCUUACAUCACUGUCUCAAUGCCAUCUUGCUAUAUAUACUGCCUCUAGUUUUAUCAGAUGGCCCAUGGUGUCCAGCCACCAUUUUCCCCCAUACAAACGGCUUCCAAAUUGGCUAUACAGACUGCAGUGUCCUGCCGUUUUCUCACCAUAUAGCCUCAGUGUCCUGACACUAUCUGGCUUAUCUGGACUGCCUCCAGCUUUGCCCUAUGGUCUGUAAUGUUACAAAACUAGCUUGCCAUAUGGAUGGUCUCCAGCUUGGUCAUACAGCCCGCAUGGCCAAGUGUCAGGACAUUGUGACUGCAUUGUCCUGACACUAUCUCACUAUACAGUACAGUCUGUGUAGCCAAGCCGGAGGCAUUGUACUGAUGCUCUCACCAUAUGGAUUGCUUUCAGCUUGGCCAUAUAGAUUGCAGUCUCCCAAUGCCAUCUUGCCCUAUGACAGUUUGGUCAAGCUAGAGGCAGUCCAUAUGGUGAGACAGCAUCAGGACACUACAGACUGUUUGGUAAAAUGCACAACUAUCUACACACCCAGGCAUCUUUCAAGAAAGCUUUGUUGUCAUCAGCAUGUCUGUUAUUGGGCACUGUGCAGAUGCCUCUUAAUCUGCGUGGGGAAUAACCUCUUGUUCAUCUUUGAUACAUUGACUAUAGGCUGCCCCUUUCCCUGGAAGAGAUUGAAUAUCUGUGCUUGAACCAUUUUUUUUUUAUUUACGUAAUAAGAAUCUUUAUCAACACUUGCCAACACAUUUUAUACUAACAAAUUCUACAGCAUUUCCUAAAAUAAAAACUUGUACUUGCCCCAGUAAUUGACUUCAUACAAACCCCCAGUAACAUUAGAUGUAAGAUAAAAACCCACCCUUGUAUAUUUUUUUCAUUUCUGUAAGGAAUUUACACCAAGUUUUCCCGAGUGCUUUGUCAAGUUCUGAGUGUUUGAUUAGGAUGAGACUUGCAUCUUGACAUCUAAUCAAGAUUAGACAUUGAGAUGCAAGUCUCGUCCUAAUCGCACACUCAGAAGAGUGUGAAAGACUGAAAUUUAUGUAAGGAAUUUACACCAGCAAACAAGUGUGGGUUUUAUCUAUGUUAUUAUGUCUGUGAGAAGACAUUACCAUUACUAAACAUUUAAUGUUUUAUUUCUAAUGCUUUUAGAUAUAAAUUUCAGUAUCUUAUUUAGAACAUUUAUACAUUAAUGGUGAUCUUUAUCCCCAGAAAUACAAAGAUUCUCAACAAUUCUGCUACUCUGAUGAGCAAUGCCUAAAUAAAUAUAAUGAAUGUAUUAUCAUCCAGCAUGCA